UGAAUUGUGAGGUCUACAAGCAUUUAUUGUUUAGUCUUCAAAGAAGAAAUUUCUGGAGAAACCAAAUGAUCACAAAAAUCAUGCCUCAUCUUUCUUUUUCUUUUUACUCAAAAGCUUCAUUAAUAACAAAACAGUUUAUGUAGAUCAAGUCAAGAAAUUUCUUUACAAAUUUGCUAUUCAAUAUUAGUUAGUGUUGUUGCUGAUUAAAAAAAAUGGGUUGAGAUUUAAAGAUGAAGAGAAUCAAAAAAUAUAGAAGAAAAUUUCUUCCAAUCUAAUGCUAAAAGGGAUCAAGAAUUGGGUGAAAUCUCCAUGAAUUUUCUUUUGCUUACUUAAUUAUUCAUGAUUUCAGGUAUGAAGCUUUCUUCAUCUUUUUGCGAAAUCUUUAUGCUACCUACUCAAUUAAAUAAAAAAAUCAUAAAUGCCUGAUAAUUGAAAUUUCAUAGAUUUUCUUUGCAUGUUAGUUGUAACAUCAAAAUACAAAAUUAAUAUUUGUUUGCACUAAUUUUGCUGCUAAAUUAAGAGUAUAUCAUACAAAAAAUCAAGUCUACAGUAUAAUCUCCUUCAAAAAUGAAAUUGAAUUUCUUCUGAAAUUUAUUUGUUUGAUCUUUGGUUCUGCAUGCAAGCUUCAGAUUGAAGAUUCUUGUUUUGAGUCAAAAUUAGUUGAGAGUGUUGGGUGAAUCUCCAUGUACCUGCUUAUUUGUUUUUUUUUUUAAAUAAAUUAACAAUCUUAAAAAAAAUAUAUUAAAGUCACUGCUAGUUAUAUUUAAAAAAUAGAUUAAAAGAAAAAUCAAACCUUAGGAAUUAAUUUCAUGGACUGAUUUUGUAUUUGCUACAUUGAGGUUGAAGCCAGUGUUGUAUUUAAAAAUUGAUGAUUCUGUGCUAGUGCUGCUCUGUUUUUGAAUGUAAUCUGUGAUGUUUUUUUCUUUUUAUGCUCACAUUUUGGCUUCAUUCUUCCAUAUCCAUUUCCCUUUCCUUUUUUCUUAAUUGAAUUCAAAAUUUGAUCUGUACACCCUGUUAAAGGAUCAAUAGAACUGAAUUAAAAUUUAUUUUUACCAUAGUCUCCAUUAUAUAUCUCACUUUGAUGUUUACUAAUCCCAAUUCUUGCUUGAUAUAAAUAUUUUCUAGCAAUUUCUUCAGAAUCCUCAUCAUUUGCUUCUAAAGUCAUAACAUCAAACGACUCUUUCAUUAACCCAUUCAAACGAAUUGCCAUAGAGGAUUUUACUGCUUUCUUCUUUGUAGUGUAUUCCUCAAAUCUGUCUCCAUGCUUAGCAUUCUUCGACCAUCUUUUCAAAAUAUAUUUUUCAGGAAUAUAAGAAAAAUUCAAGUCAAAGAAUAGAACUUUUAGUGCGUGACAACAUAACCAACCCAUGGACUCAAACAUAUGACAGCUAUAAAUAAUUAAAUUUUCAAGGGAAUUAAAUUGGACAACUUCAGUUUGUCCAUUUUCACCCUUUAAAAUUGUAUAUUUGGUAGUAUUGCCAUUAGUUUCAGCACUGAGUGUUCUUUCGGUUGCCCCUUGCAAAAAUUCAUGUUGGAAUCUUGUGUAAAUUCUUCUCGUGUACACACUAGCAGCAUGUUUUAACAUCCCACAAUCUUCUAUGGAUAUUUUAGGCAUUCCUCGAGAUUUGUAAUCCUCAGCUGUUUCAAUAUCUCGCAUUUCGGUUGUUCGCUGCUCAUAAUGUUUUACAAACUCAGUUAUACCCAUUGCCUUGUAUGUCAUUUCUGUGAAGACCCUAUUUGUGCUCUCACUUCUUUGAGUUGAUUUGAUGUCCGCCAAGAAAAUUAAACGGCUAAAUGCAGGACACCAUUUUUUUCUCAAAUCAUAUAACUUUUGAAGCCAAGUAUUACUCGCACAAUCCCAUUCACUUAUCAUUUUAUCCCACACUAACUCAAAUUCUAGUUCCAAAUGGCACCUCCAUAAGAGUGUGUCAAAAUAGUGUCGAAAUCCCGACAUAAAGUAAAGCUGGGGUAUGUUUUUUUGAGCAUUUCUAUCAAUAUGCCAUUCGCAUAGUCGAUGACACGUGUUUAGAAAGACUUCUUUAAUGGCCAAGGCUAUAGCAGGAGCUUGAUCGGUAAAAAUUAUUUUUGGUGAUUUUCCUUCCUUUUCCUUCAAAAAUGCUUGAAAUAGCCAAACAAAUAAAUCAUUGGUUUCAUUGCAUAAGAAUGCACAACCAAAAAAGGUAUUUUUUCAGUGGUUAUUCACACCAAAAAAUGGAGCACAAAUCAUGUCAUAUCUAUUUGUACGAUAAGUAGUGUCAAAAAUCAUCACAUCUCCAAAACAUUCAUAGUGCAAUUUAGAUAUACUAUCUCUCCAAAAAAAUUGCACAACCUACCAUCUUCAUCAACUUGAAAAGAAUAGAAGAAGUUUGAGUCCUCGGAUUGCAAAUGCAUAAAAUAAUUUAUCGAAUUUUGAGCAUCUCCACUACUAAUCAUAUUUCUCUUCUAUGCUUGAACAAAAUUAUAAGCAUCUUGUUCAAUGAAUCCUACAUUUUCAACUCCACCCGCUUCAUUCUGAAGAUAUCAAACAACUUUUUUUGUAUGAAUACCGGCAUCAAUCAUAGAACCAAGAAUAUUUUUAGUAGUGUUUGUAAGCCUACGACCAGAAUGUAUGAAAUAUUUCAAAUUAUCUUCUAUCAUGGGAUGACUAUGCACAUCAUUGAAUUCACAUACUUUCCAUAUUUUAUUUGAAAUUUUGAAUUUUAUACGAGCCAUACAAUCACAUCUAUAUUCUAAUCUUUGUCGCUUUCUUUCUUGAAAAGGAGAAAGUUUAUCAGAUUAUCCUUCACAAGAACAAAGAAAUAAACGUCUUGUUGUCUCUUCUUUUACAUUGUUAGUCUUUCCUCCCUUUCAAACACCAAAACCUCUUGCCACAGCAUAUGAAUUAUAUGCAUUGUAUGAUUCCUCUUUCGAAUUAAACUCCAUACCAAUCUCAAAAACAAAGUUCUUGCUAGUGUUACAAAUAUUAUGCUCGUUAACAUUGAAAUCUACAAUAAUAAUUUUUAAUUGUAAGUAUCAAAAUUCAAUAAAUAGAUAAACUAUAGAUAGUAUUUAUUUAAUAAAGAUUUCUACACUUAAAUUACCUUCUUGGACAGAGGAGUCUUUGCCUUUGUCAACAUAUGCAUCUUCCAUUUUCUAUUUCAAGCACAAUCUGCAUAAGACAAAAUUUACAACACUAAAAAUUUAAUCUUUUCAAAAGGUUAUCUUAAUAUUUAAAAAUACUUUUUGAUGUUAUAAAAUGUCUAAUUAAAAUAUAAUUUUGAAUAUGUGAUCAAAAAUUUUAAAUUUAGUGUUGAACUUAUUAUUUGGAACAAAAUUAGAAUUGUCAAGUUUUUAUGAUAUUUUUAUUUUUAUAUUUAAUAACAAAAAUUAUUUUUUAUGUUUACAGGAUCAACUGACCAUGAAGAUCAUUCAAUGAAUGAUACACAAGAUAUGGAUUCAAUGAAAAUAUUGAGAACUGAAGCAUAUAUGCUAGCAUUAGAUAUUUUUAUACGGAAAUAUAGUAAUAUUUUACUUUCUAAUUGUAUAUAUAUAUAAUAAGGUGAUUAUACAAAUAUAAAUAACAAUGAGAAAAGAAAAUUAAAAAAAAUAAAGGUCAUAGAUGUAUACAUCUAAAAUAUUUCUUCUAAGUUUUGCUUGAGUGAGAAUACUGUGAGAGCAAUAAAUGUAGAACUACUUUGAAAAUUUUGCUUCGAUUGGUUUGCACAUCACGNNN
rnacentral:lncRNA from 1 species